rnacentral:rRNA from 1 species
UCUUGAAAUGGGGUUGUAGCUGGUCCUUUAAAGACACGUGCUCGCCCUGUUCAAAUCCACUCUACACCUGUGCACUUACUGUGGGCUUUGGUUUCUGAGCUGGGUUCAUACCUGGCUUUUGAGCCGGGCUCAUGUUUACUUUACAAACAACUUAGUAUCAGAAUGUACAUUGCGAUUUAACGCAUUUUAUACAACUUUCAGCAACGGAUCUCUUGGCUCUCGCAUCGAUGAAGAACGCAGCGAAAUGCGAUAAGUAAUGUGAAUUGCAGAAUUCAGUGAAUCAUCGAAUCUUUGAACGCACCUUGCGCUCCUUGGUAUUCCGAGGAGCACGCCUGUUUGAGUGUCAUGAAAUUCUCAACCUACAAAGCCUUGUGUUUUGUUAGGAUUGGACUUGGAGGCUUGCUGGCUCUGUCAGCUCCUCUUAAAUUCAUUAGCUUGAUUCCUUGUGAAUCGGCCUCGGUGUGAUAAUUGUCUACGCUGUGACCGUGAAACGUUUGGUGAGCUUAUAAUGGUCUCUUUAGAGACAGCUUCUUUUGACAUCUGA